rnacentral:rRNA from 1 species
UACAGAGGGGGCAAGCGUUGUUCGGAAUUACUGGGCGUAAAGGGCGCGUAGGCGGCCUGCUAAGUCGAACGUGAAAUCCCUGGGCUCAACCCAGGAACUGCGUCCGAUACGGGCAGACUAGAGUUCGGUAGGGGAGUCUGGAAUUCCUGGUGUAGCGGUGAAAUGCGCAGAUAUCAGGAGGAACACCGGUGGCGAAGGCGGGACUCUGGGCCGAUACUGACGCUGAGGAGCGAAAGCGUGGGGAGCGAACAGG